rnacentral:lncRNA from 1 species
GGGAAGGGAGUCCCACAUCUAUUUUUAAGAAUACAUUCAUGAGAUCAUCUUGCAAAAAAUUAGAGAAAUCGAAAACCAUUUCGACAUCCAAUUGUGUUCUACAAAAUCAAUGAACACGGUGCUUCAAGAAAGUACAAAUGAUAUCGGAUUCAAGUUGUUUGUACAAUAUAUGGCCAAGCACUCCUAAGCCACACCAAGCAAAGGGAAUGGAGUCCCACAUCGACAAAACACCAGAA